CUGGCGGUCGCCAGCGGUACAGCAGGAACCCGGGCCCUGGCCGCUCCCUGGCUGAACUCAGGUUCUCGGUGUUUAGUUUCGCUUUUUUUUUAAUGGUAUUUUAAAUGAUAUUUUUUAAAGUAUCUGCUGCGCCUGCGGCCCUUGCUGGACACUGGAAAUCUGCUGCCCCCAUCUGAGGCAGACUCAUGGUGUAUCAUCAUCCGUGAAUUUACACCCAAGGAAACUGAGGCACAGAGAAGUUGAAGAGCUGUCCCAAGUCGGUAGAAGGACCAGGACUCGCACCAUGGCUGGCUGUGGACUUGCAGCCACCCUGCUGUGCUCUGAGCCUGAGGCCCUGGAAGGUCAAGGCCAAGCUUAUUUCUCUGUAAGGGACCCAACUGCUGCACAGCAGGAAAGAGGCAGGGCCUCCACUGAAAACCAGGGCUUUUCUGACUAAAAUCCACCUCUUCCGUACCCUGCUGUAGCAGUGCCCAUGUGCUGUUUAUAGCAGCGAACUCCUAGAAGCAUAAAUGGAGAUGUCCAA